CAGCAGCCGCGGGAAAACGUAGGGUGCAAGCGUUAAUCGGAAUUACUGGGCGUAAAGCGUGCGCAGGCGGUUUUGUAAGACAGAGGUGAAAUCCCCGGGCUCAACCUGGGAACUGCCUUUGUGACUGCAAGGCUAGAGUACGGCAGAGGGGGAUGGAAUUCCGCGUGUAGCAGUGAAAUGCGUAGAUAUGCGGAGGAACACCGAUGGCGAAGGCAAUCCCCUGGGCCUGUACUGACGCUCAUGCACGAAAGCGUGGGGAGCAAACAGGAUUAGAUACCCCCGUAGUCCCUGUCUCUUAUCA
rnacentral:rRNA from 1 species